AGUGAACGCUGGCGGUAGGCCUAACACAUGCAAGUCGAACGGCAGCACAGUAAGAGCUUGCUCUUACGGGUGGCGAGUGGCGGACGGGUGAGGAAUACAUCGGAAUCUACUUUUUCGUGGGGGAUAACGUAGGGAAACUUACGCUAAUACCGCAUACGACCUACGGGUGAAAGCAGGGGAUCUUCGGACCUUGCGCGAUUGAAUGAGCCGAUUUCGGAUUAGCUAGUUGGCGGGGUAAAGGCCCACCAAGGCGACGAUCCGUAGCUGGUCUGAGAGGAUGAUCAGCCACACUGGAACUGAGACACGGUCCAGACUCCUACGGGAGGCAGCAGUGGGGAAUAUUGGACAAUGGGCGCAAGCCUGAUCCAGCCAUACCGCGUGGGUGAAGAAGGCCUUCGGGUUGUAAAGCCCUUUUGUUGGGAAAGAAAGGCAGCAGGUUAAUACCCCGCUGUUCUGACGGUACCCAAAGAAUAAGCACCGGCUAACUUCGU
rnacentral:rRNA from 1 species